GACGAACGCUGGCGGCGCGCCUAACACAUGCAAGUCGAACGGAGUCAAGAGGAGCUUGCUUUUCUUGACUUAGUGGCGAACGGGUGAGUAACGCGUGAGUAACCUGCCCUGGAGUGGGGGACAACAGUUGGAAACGACCGCUAAUACCGCAUAAGCCCACGGAUCUGCAUGGAUCUGCGGGAAAAGGAUUUAUUCGCUCUAGGAUGGACUCGCGUCCAAUUAGCUAGUUGGUGAGGUAACGGCCCACCAAGGCGACGAUUGGUAGCCGGACUGAGAGGUUGAACGGCCACAUUGGGACUGAGACACGGCCCAGACUCCUACGGGAGGCAGCAGUGGGGGAUAUUGCACAAUGGGGGAAACCCUGAUGCAGCGACGCCGCGUGGAGGAAGAAGGUUUUCGGAUUGUAAACUCCUGUCGUUAGGGACGAUAAUGACGGUACCUAACAAGAAAGCACCAGCUAACUACGUG
rnacentral:rRNA from 1 species